UACGGAAGGCAGCAGUGGGGAAUAUUGCACAAUGGGCGAAAGCCUGAUGCAGCUAUGCCGCGUGUAUGAAGAAGGCCUUAGGGUUGUAAAGUACUUUCAUCGGGGAGGAAAAAACAAAACUAAUAAUUUUAUUUCUUGACGUUACCCGAAAAAGAAGCACCGGCUAACUCCGUGCCAGCAGCCGCGGUAAUACGGAGGGUGCUAGCGUUAAUCAGAAUUACUGGGCGUAAAGAGCACGUAGGUGGUUUUUUUAAGUCAGAUGUGAAAUCCCUGGGCUUAACCUAGGAACUGCAUUUUGAAACUGAAAUACUAGAGUAUCGUAGAGGGAGGUAGAAUUCUAGGUGUAGCGGUGAAAUGCGUAGAUAUCUGGAGGAAUACCUGUGGCGAAAGCGGCCUCCUAAACGAAUACUGACACUGAGGUGCGAAAGCGUUGGGGAGCAAACAGGGAUUAGGAUACC
rnacentral:rRNA from 1 species